AGAAGAUAAAAUCUGCACUUCAGCAUUACAAGUGAAGAGAAUGGUGGUGUGACUUGCCCAGGCCACCCCAUGAGUAGGCGGCAGAGACAUCAGGAGAUCCUGGACCUCUGUUUCCCAUUCCAGCAGAGGAACGAGUGGAUCCUGCAGGGAAGAGCCAAGUACUGACUUGAAAGAGAGGACUUGGCCUUACUUGGACAUCUUCCCAACCUCUGGAACACCUCCGGUUGUGACAAAGAAAUGCUCAUGACAGUAUCUCCAUGCUAAGCAAUCACGAGGUGACACCCAAGAAGAGCCCUUUGUCUAGUGCUAGAAAGGGAUGCUCAGCCCCCGUUGCUACUUCUGAAGUUAACAGUCCGCCCUGGAAAGCUUCAGACCUGACCCUCCAGGUUGGCUCCACAACGUAUUCUUCUAUGGAUGUCAACAGUACUGGAUCAGGACCCAGGUUGUCAUGAGACCACCUCAAAGAGCCUGUGAUCU
rnacentral:lncRNA from 1 species